GAUGAACGCUGGCGGCGUGCCUAAUACAUGCAAGUCGAGCGAAUGGAUUAAGAGCUUGCUCUUAUGAAGUUAGCGGCGGACGGGUGAGUAACACGUGGGUAACCUGCCCAUAAGACUGGGAUAACUCCGGGAAACCGGGGCUAAUACCGGAUAACAUUUUGAACCGCAUGGUUCGAAAUUGAAAGGCGGCUUCGGCUGUCACUUCUGGAUGGACCCGCGUCGCAUUAGCUAGUUGGUGAGGUAACGGCUCACCAAGGCAACGAUGCGUAGCCGACCUGAGAGGGUGAUCGGCCACACUGGGACUGAGACACGGCCCAGACUCCUACGGGAGGCAGCAGUAGGGAAUCUUCCGCAAUGAACGAAAGUCUGACGGAGCAACGCCGCGUGAGUGAUGAAGGCUUUCGGGUCGUAAAACUCUGUUGUUAGGGAAGAACAAGUGCUAGUUGAAUAAGCUGGCACCUUGACGGUACCUAACCAGAAAGCCACGGCUAACUACGUGCCAGCAGCCGCCGUAA
rnacentral:rRNA from 1 species